rnacentral:rRNA from 1 species
GGGUUGUGAGGUUAAGCGACUAAGCGUACACGGUGGAUGCCCUGGCAGUCAGAGGCGAUGAAGGGCGUGCUAAUCUGCGAUAAGCGCCGGUAAGGUGAUAUGAACCGUUAUAACCGGCGAUACCCGAAUGGGGAAACCCAGUGUGAUUCGUCACACUAUCAUUAACUGAAUCCAUAGGUUAAUGAGGCGAACCGGGGGAACUGAAACAUCUAAGUACCCCGAGGAAAAGAAAUCAACCGAGAUUCCCCCAGUAGCGGCGAGCGAACGGGGAGGAGCCCAGAGCCUGAAUCAGCAUGUGUGUUAGUGGAAGCGUCUGGAAAGGCGCGCGAUACAGGGUGACAGCCCCGUACACAAAAGCGCAUAUGCUGUGAGCUCGAUGAGUAGGGCGGGACACGUGGUAUCCUGUCUGAAUAUGGGGGGACCAUCCUCCAAGGCUAAAUACUCCUGACUGACCGAUAGUGAACCAGUACCGUGAGGGAAAGGCGAAAAGAACCCCGGCGAGGGGAGUGAAAAAGAACCUGAAACCGUG